rnacentral:piRNA from 1 species
UGUGUAGUUUUGGAGCCUAUCCUGA